rnacentral:rRNA from 1 species
UACGAAGGGGGCUAGCGUUGUUCGGGAUUACUGGGCGUAAAGCGCACGUAGGCGGACUAUUAAGUCAGGGGUGAAAUCCCGGGGCUCAACCCCGGAACUGCCUUUGAUACUGGUAGUCUCGAGUCCGGAAGAGGUGAGUGGAAUUCCGAGUGUAGAGGUGAAAUUCGUAGAUAUUCGGAGGAACACCAGUGGCGAAGGCGGCUCACUGGACCGGUACUGACGCUGAGGUGCGAAAGCGUGGGGAGCAAACAGG